rnacentral:lncRNA from 1 species
GGCUAUACUUUUUAUUACAAAUAAAAAGGCCAAAAAUGGCUAUACGAGGUUUACAUUUCCCUUCCCUCGCUGCCUGGCUCGCUUCACUGAAUCACUUCCCAUCAAAGUCUUCAAGUUCAAGGCCAAAAAAGAGGUGGCCAAUUCCUCAUUUGAGCUCUCAUGGCGUCUCCCAAAAAAUCAAAGAAAAGCAAGAAAGAUAGGAAAUUGAAGAAAAACUUAAGCUUGGU